rnacentral:snoRNA from 1 species
UGGAUCAACGAUGAGAGUGUCAUGAACCAAGGAUUAUGAUUAAUUCAAUUCUGUUCACCUGAGCUCCCCC